GUGCAUGUAUAUUCACAUGUGUGAGGGUGUGAAUGUGUGUGUCUGUGGGUCUGGGCACAUGAGUGUGUGUGUGCAUAUACUACAUUCACGUGUGAGUGUGCAAAUGCGAGUGUGUCUGUAGGUCUGGGCACGUGUAUGCGUGUGUGUGCGAGUACUAUAUUCGCAUGUGUGAGUGUGCGAAUGUGUGUGUCUGUGGGUCUGGGCACACGAGUGUGUAUGCGUGUGUGUGCAUGUACUAUAUUCACGUGUGUGAGUGUGCGAAUGUGUCUGUGGGUCUGGGCACAUGAGUGUGUGCAUAUACUAUAUUCACGUGUGUGAGUGUGCAAAUGUGUGUCUGUAGGUCUGGGCACAUGUGUAUGCGUGUGUGUGCGAGUACUAUAUUCACGUGUGUGUGAGUGCGAAUGUGAGUGGGUGUGGGUCUGGUCACAUGUAUGUAUGCAUGUGUGCAUGUAUUAUAGUCAUGUGAGUGUGCAAAUGUGUGUGUGGGUCUGGGCACACAAGUGUGUAUGCAUGUGUUUCUAUUGUAUUCAUGUGAGUAUAAGUGCAAAUGUGUGAGUGUGUGUUCUCUGCACACACAAGUGUAUAGGUAUGUGUUUGUGUGUGCAUGCACUGUAUUCAUGUGAGUGUAUGUGAAUGUGUGACUGUGAGAGUUUGAGUGUGCCUGGGUGUCUGGCUAUACUAGUGCAUGUCUGUGUUCGUGUGCAUCAGUCUGGGUGUGCCCGUGUGUGAAUGUGUCUAUGCGUGGGUGUCCCAAUAUGUGUGUGCCUGUGUAUCCAUGUCUGGGUGUGCCUGUGAGUGUGAGUGUGCGCAUGGGUGUCUGGAUAUGUGAGUGCUUGUGACUACCUGUGUGUGUAUCCAUGUCUAGGUGUGCCCGUGGGUGUGAGUGUGUCUGUGCGUGGGUGUCUGGAUACGUGUGUGCCUGUAUGAGUGUGUAUCCAUGUCUGGGUGUGCCCACGGGUGUGAGUGUGAAUAUGUAAGUCUUGCGUGUGCAUGAGUGUGUUCACAUGAGUGUGAGGGUCUGUGCAUAAGAGCCUAUUGUGAGUGCAUGUGGAUUGCAUUUAUGUGAGUCCGUGUCUGUGUGCACGCACGUGUCCCCGCACAAGCCAGCCCGAGAGGGAGUGUCCCCUGAACACACCCUGGCAGCACUUGCAGCGUGAUGAGGUUGAGGGAAUGUGUCGCUGAGGUCGUAAAUGCCUCUCGCACGUCCCAACACGCUGGAGCAACAGCAGCCCGUGAUGCCGGCCGCGCAGCCGUGAAGUCCGUGGAGCGUCCCUAAUCACUGGGGGUUCUGCUUUGCGGUGACAGCGGUGCUACUCACAGCUCCAGAACUCUGCAGCUUCCCCCCUGAAACGGGAACGGGAAGGUGGCGCGGGCGUCCACACCUCGAGCCACAGCCGGCGGGAGGCACAGGCUGGCAAAACUGCCUCUCAGUAGUGAGAAGAGACAAACAAACCGAACGCCAGGAGCAGAGGAAACGAAGACGAUGUGGCCAAGAAAAAUUGCAUUUUUCUUUCCAGUUUUGCUAAAAUAGCCUUCUCAUUGGCUGCGGCUUUGGAGGUGGCAGAAAUCAUACGUUUAAUCACGGCGCCCUCCUGCUUGCCAAGCUUUGCGUCCUCCAGAAUUGUCCUGUGAGUGACUCCCGCAGGAUGGAGACUUUUGUGUCUGGCUUCCUUCACUUCGCAGCAGGCUUCGCGGGACCCGUGUGGUGGCACCAGCGUCCAGCCCUUGGUACUGCUGAGUUGUAGGUUGUGGGACAGGUGGAGGUACCACAGUUGCUCACGGGUUCACCUGUGGAUGGGCAUGUGGGCUGUUGUGAGUGAAGCCACUUCAGACGUUUGCGUGCAGGUUUGGUGGGGACGUGCAGUUUCAUUUCUUUUGAGAGUGGGAUUGCUGGAGCCUAUGUUAAGGGUACGUUCAACUCAUCAGCUCAACUGUCUUCCAAAUGGCAGCCCCGUUUUCCACCCCCGCCAGCAACGCCCGCGACUCCAGGCGCGCUGCAUUUUCAUCAGCACCUGGCAGUGGUGAUUCAUAAUGCUUUAAAUGUUAAUUUCCCUCAUGACUAGUGAUGUUAAACAUCUUAUUAAACAUCUUAGGUAUUA
rnacentral:lncRNA from 10 species